GUCCCCAUCGUCCAGCGGUUAGGACGCCGGCCUUUCAAGCCGGUAACACGGGUUCGAUUCCCGUUGGGGACG
rnacentral:tRNA from 1 species